CGUGUAGGCGGUCCGCUAAGUCUGAUGUGAAAGCCCGGGGCUCACCCCCGGAAGGGCAUUGGAGACUGGCGGACUCGAGUCCCGGAGAGGAAGGUGGAAUUCCUGGUGUAGCGGUGAAAUGCGUAGAUAUCAGGAGGAAUACCGGUGGCGAAGGCGGCCUUCUGGACGGUGACUGACGCUGAGACGCGAAAGCGUGGGGAGCAAACA
rnacentral:rRNA from 1 species